AUUGAACGCUGGCGGCAGGCUUAACACAUGCAAGUCGAGCGGAGCGAGGGUGCUUGCACCUUAGCUUAGCGGCGGACGGGUGAGUAAUGCUUAGGAAUCUGCCUAUUAGUGGGGGACAACAUUCCGAAAGGGAUGCUAAUACCGCAUACGCCCUACGGGGGAAAGCAGGGGAUCUUCGGACCUUGCGCUAAUAGAUGAGCUUAAGUCGGAUUAGCUAGUUGGUGGGGUAAAGGCCUACCAAGGCGACGAUCUGUAGCGGGUCUGAGAGGAUGAUCCGCCACACUGGGACUGAGACACGGCCCAGACUCCUACGGGAGGCAGCAGUGGGGAAUAUUGGACAAUGGGGGGAACCCUGAUCCAGCCAUGCCGCGUGUGUGAAGAAGGCCUUUUGGUUGUAAAGCACUUUAAGCGAGGAGGAGGCGCUCUAGGUUAAUACCCUAGAUGCGUGGACGUUACUCGCAGAAUAAGCACCGGCUAACUCUGUGCCAGCCGCCGCGGUAACAC
rnacentral:rRNA from 1 species